rnacentral:rRNA from 1 species
GACAGAGGGUGCGAACGUUGUUCGGAAUUACUGGGCGUAAAGCGCGUGUAGGUGGCAUCGCAAGUCGGAUGUGAAAGCCCGGGGCUCAACCCCGGAAGUGCAUUCGAUACUGCGAAGCUAGAGUCUCGGAGAGGAUGGUGGAACUCUCGGUGUAGAGGUGAAAUUCGUAGAUAUCGAGAAGAACACCGGCGGCGAAGGCGGCCAUCUGGACGAUGACUGACACUGAGACGCGAAAGCGUGGGGAGCAAAC